AUGUUAGAAGACGACUGUCGGUAUCUGAUGGUAAUGCAAGCAAACCAACCAGAAGGACUGGAGCUGUUGGAUGUUGCUCAGUGCUGCUAUAAAUUAAUAACCAAAAAGCUCUGCGUCGAACUUCGGCCCCUUCGAGUUGGCGACGGGGCAACAGCCUCUGACGCCCCACACCAUUGCGGCAGGAGGAGGCUUGCCCAUCAGCCUACUUUGCCAAGACGUGGCAGGAGCGCAACGACCUAG